GCCGAUGUGGUGGAAUUGGUAGACACGCUAUCUUGAGGGGGUAGUGGCGUAAGCCGUGCCGGUUCGACUCCGGCCAUCGGCACCA
rnacentral:tRNA from 11 species